UCUUACAGAUGAGCAAAGAAAGUGGUUACUUGAGAUAGCAUCUACUCCUGUUGAUGAUGUUCUGAA
rnacentral:pre_miRNA from 2 species